rnacentral:lncRNA from 1 species
GCUCAACUAAGCAUGCACUAAAUUAAAAUAGUCAAAAAGUUAAAAUCCCACUAGUCUUGUGCCAUUUACAUCUCAAUUAAAUGCCCAAAGAAAAAGUUGUUCUCUAGAAUUUCAUUUGAAUGAAAGACAUUUACAGAUCAUGAGGCAGACCCAGCUAGCAGUUGCCUAAUAAAAAUACUUGUGCUCAUCAUCAAGAGCUCAUGUAUGGUCAAUUUCAAAUGGGUCUAUUUUCUUUCUCAGUGAUGGCUAAACCAAGCAAAAUCUCCCAAUCUGUGAGAAGCUGGGGGUACAAGUAGCUGUAAUAUGGUCAUAAAAC